AGUCGAACGGAUCCUUCGGGAUUAGUGGCAGACGGGUGAGUAACGCGUGGGAAGCUACCUUGUGGUAGGGGACAACAGUUGGAAACGACUGCUAAUACCCUAUGAGCCCUAUGGGGGAAAGAUUUAUCGCCAUGAGAUGUGCCCGCGUUAGAUUAGCUAGUUGGUAAGGUAAUGGCUUACCAAGGCGACGAUCUAUAGCUGGUCUGAGAGGAUGAUCAGCCACACUGGGACUGAGACACGGCCCAGACUCCUACGGGAGGCAGCAGUGGGGAAUAUUGGACAAUGGGGGCAACCCUGAUCCAGCCAUGCCGCGUGUGUGAUGACGGCCUUAGGGUUGUAAAGCACUUUCAGCAGUGAAGAUAAUGACAUUAACUGCAGAAGAAGCCCCGGCUAACUUCGUGCCAGCAGCCGCGGUAAUACGAAGGGGGCUAGCGUUGUUCGGAAUCACUGGGCGUAAAGAGUACGUAGGCGGACUGAUAAGUUAGGGGUGAAAUCCCAAGGCUCAACCUUGGAACUGCCUUUGAUACUGUCAGUCUUGAGAUCGAGAGAGGUGAGUGGAACUCCGAGUGUAGAGGUGAAAUUCGUAGAUAUUCGGAAGAACACCAGUGGCGAAGGCGGCUCACUGGCUCGAUACUGACGCUGAGGUACGAAAGCGUGGGGAGCAAACAGGAUUA
rnacentral:rRNA from 1 species